rnacentral:tRNA from 1 species
UGUUUCUGCCAGGGCUUGAACCUGGGACCUUCAUAGUGAUAACCACUAUACCACAGAAAC